AACCAAAAUAUUUUUCAUAAACAAUGGGAGUAUUUAGUUCCUGCUCAAUAACAGGCAUUCAGAACUCACUAAGACACAAAAUACUCGAUUCAACAGAACAAUCAAAAUGUAGCUGGAGGCUCUGCCUCCUGAGAGAUCUGUAAGGAAGUACAUUAUACUCCCCCACCUCUUGGUUCUUCAUUCCACAACCACCUCUCCUCCUCCACUUUGCUGCUCCAAAAUGCAUCAUUAGCUGCGUAAUGAUUGGGAUUAGUGUGUUCCUGCUGAAAUGCUUCAGUACAUGAUGAAUUGUAGACUGUUUGCCUGGACCAUUCACAUCUUCUAACAAAACACAAUUUGUUAUUCCAAACAAAAGGCUGAUUUUUUUUUUCAGGGCACAGCUUUUUUAUGAAGCAAAGCUGUUAACCCUGCAGCCUGAGAGAAGGCAGCUCAUGUGGAGGAGAAGGUGUGUCAGCUGAGUGCUUCAGGCUUCUGAAGGUAGGUAUGAGGUGGCAAAUUGCCUCCCACUUUGCUUCCAGUGUGCUAAGCAGGAGAAUGAGGUGGCCAGGAAGAUUGCAGCACUCAGAAAAGCAACUGUGUGAAGAAUGGAUUAUAUUGAUGUAAAAAGCCUCUGUCAUCCCAGUAUCUCUACAUUAGACUGUAUGGAAAGAGGAAGGCUGGGGAGAUCAAGAAAAUCCACUUUAACUUCGUCAAUAAACAAAUUAAUCCCAUUUCAUUUUCCUAAAAUACAAAGUAUUGUCAGUCUGUGUUUCUUCUUGUACUACAAUACUUGUACAGAGGAAUUUGCAUAAGAGGAAGCUCCCUGUCUUCUUCUGGGACAAAUUCACCAGGCAAAAAUCUGCUGCUUCUAGACAGUGACAGCACUUGAGGGCCUGAACUUUGACUGCUGCUCCCCAGCUCUUACAGAGACGUGGCAACAUUUGCAGUGGGUACCAGGCCUGAAACAUCAGCAGCGGUAUCGUGUGAGGAAAGGAAAAUGUUCAAAACCUUGACUUUUCAUUCAUCAGUGAAUCAUUGAUGAAACAAGUAAUAUCAACAGAAACUUCUUUUCAGUAUAUAUCAAAUGAUAAUGGAGCCAGAAAUGAGGAAAAUAAAAUGCUGCACAUCAUUAUUUUCCUACUGAACCUAGCAGGUUUGCAAACAAGCACUCACCCAAAACGGAAUCAGGCUGAUAAGAACUCUUAACUGGAAAGGGAUGAGAUGGAGGUUAGUGCAGAAGACAAUAUACCUAGAGUAUUACAAAAUACUAGCAAGAUUCUUCUAAGUGGCAGAGGCUUGGCAUUCUCCUGUUUCAACAAAAUGAAGAAUCUCAGGUCCUCUGGAAAAUUCUGCUGAACUAUUACUGCCAUUUAAAGAAACUAACAAGCUUUCCAGGUGAAUGGUGCCUACAGGUGGAGGUGUGGUCGCAUUGACACCCUGAAGGUUUCAGCUUCAUCCCUCUGCACCAUCCAUGUGUUAACAUCUCAGCAGGGGUUUUAUCGAGGAGUUGCCACACAGACAUUGGUCAGGGCUUUGAGAGGCUUAGCUGAAGUUUUUUGAUAGGCAUGAAAGGUAUUUAGGUCUUGGACAGAGUGUAAUAGGUUCAUAAUGGUUUAUUUUGAUACUGGAGUUGAAUAUACAGUCGCUGAUUAAAGGAGGAGCGAGAGCCAUAAACUGCUGCACACAUCACAGUGCUGGGCUGAAACAUCUGUCCGAGGGUCAGCAGGGUGUUCUUGGAGUGAGUGCCUGGUAACACGCUUGGGAGGUUAAGUUGUGGUUUUCACGGUACUCACAGAUUUUUGGCAGUGUUCUUUGUCUGCCUCAUUAGCUACAUUAGUACAUUAGCACCUAGAAUUGGUGUCUCUAGUAUAUCAUAUCAAUUACUUCAACACUAUCAGGGUUUACAUACUUUUAAUUUACAUUUUUUUAAAGGUAAGGACAGGUUUGGGAACUUUGUGGAAAUGCUGAAAAUAAUUCUGUUGCUCCUUUCUGCUAAGCAGAAGGAGGUGUCAGCAUAGGAGACACAGGACUUUCUUCUUAAAAUGGUCAGUCCCAUUAGUACUGAAGUGUCUUAAAUACAUCUUGAUUUUUGGCAACGUAACAUAUUCCUACAAUAAUACUGAUUAAUAAACUAAAGAUAAAGGCUGUGUGACUCUUCCUCUCCCUCUAAAACAUUCAAAUAGGGUUUCCCUGUGUCUGCCUAUGAGAAAAUGUUAUUAAAAUUCACAAGUUUCAUUUUUUAGAUGACUGCAGGGCACACAUUAAGUGUUCAGUCACACAGUGAGAUUUGUACCUUUGCCAUCAAUUAUCAUUCUCAUGUGUUUAGGGUUUGGCUUGGGGCUGGAACGCUGUGAUCGCGCCUUGUGCUCUGUUCCCAAAAUUUGUGUUUAUCGUUACAUAAUUACAUGAAUAAACAAUCUUUUGCAUGCUUCACAAA